ACACUGAAAUCAUUUCAGUGUUUUUUCUUUGUUGUCUAAUGGUUUGAAUUUCUUUCAUUAAUAUUGAUUUUGUAAUGAGUAAGAAAUUAAUGUGAACACAAAGUUUACGGGAUACUAAUUUUACAGGUUAUUACUCAAAUAGUUGAUGAAUAAGGAAUUACCGGUUGAAACAGGGACUCAAGGCUACUUAUACUACAAAUAUAUAUUAUUAUUUUACUGUUAUGUCAACGCCCAAAAAAAUAAAUCUGGAGAUGGAACAUGAAUCUAGUCUUAAUGGCUAUUUAGAAAAUUGAUACACUAACAUGAUUUUCUAUAAUGCCAAUCUAAGUCGUAUUGAUAUUUUUUUACUUUGAAAAAAACAACAAAAAAACAAACUUUUUAUGUCAUUAGAGCCUAAUUCCCACAUGUUGAUUGAAGAUUGAUUAUAAUAUGAAAAAUCAUAGCACAUGACUAUUUUGACAAAUUUUGAAAAUUAAUAAAUAUUUUUUGUCAUGAUAAUUAAUGUCAUUGGGGAUGCUUUUGGGGAUUGGGGAAAAUAUUUUUAUGAAAUGAAGGUACAUAUUUUAAAUGCUAGAUGCUCUGAGACGAAAAGACGAUAACGGUUCGCUCUGGAGGCCAUCACAUACUCUGUAAUAUGUGAAAAACACUUCAAGGCAGAAGAUUUUUGUUUGUCAAGGCAAACUCUAGCUUCCGUGGGAGGAAAAGCAUAUCUGCAUUUGAGACGGGGAGCAGUCCCAUCGCUUUCUUCCUUGGUCACAAAAUGUUAACAUAAUUAGUAUCGAUGACAACAGCAUGAUAAUAACUCCUGAUCAAUACUUGGAUGUAUUUGUUGUGGAGGUACAGACUGAGAACAUCAACUAAGCGCUACUCACUGGUGAUGUGUUUACAUGUAAACAACACACAUGUCCUAUUCCUCGAACUCUGGGACUCAGUGACUCACGUUUUUCACGUUAAGAGGGAAUUAGGUAAUUAUGAGACAACAUCAAUGCUGGCCGAUGUCAAAUGGCACCAAGACAAUUUGGGCAACUUCAUCUAUUCGGAAUUUUGCCCACCAAACUCGCCAGAACUGAAUCUUAUGAUUUGCAUGGAGUGCAAUCGAACGAAAAACCGACAUAGCCCCCCACAACACCAAAAACGAACUCAUCUGUUGGAUGAAGAAAGAAUUCCAGGAAUUUCCAAGGGACCAAGUGGCGAAGGCCUGCUCACGCUUUUGCCCAAGUAUAGAAACUGUAAUUGAGGCUAGAGGUGAUUGUAAAAUAGCUUAAAUUCCCUCGAACAUUCAUAAUAUUUUAUUAUUUUUAAGUCUGACAACUGUUUGGAGAGAAUAUUUAAAAAAAAAAAAAAGCCCCACCUUUUUGUGGAAUAAAUAGGGUGAACACUCUGUAUAUCUAUUUCCCUCUUGAGUUCGAUAGUAGUCAAUAGUGAUUACAUAUUUCCAUUUAUUGCUUAAUAAAGUACUAUUCGAGUAGGAAUGUAGAACAAAAAUGUAUUGACCUAAUCUAUAUGAUGAUUCUAUUUAUAUUUUCAUUCAAUCCCAUUGGAAUCCCUAUUAUGAAUCACUCAUACCUACGUAAUAACCUGUCUCUAUUUUCCCUUGUACAUACUUUGUUGCAGAUCUGCAUCCCAAAAAAACAGAUCUUAAAAAAGUACGAAUGUACAAUACUAUCUUCCAGAAUUCCCUGUCCUUCAUCCUGAGUCAGACUCCUAGAACCAGGCAUGACAAAACUUUUUAUGAAGUAGGGGAGAUAUAUAAGUAAAAGGAAGGACAUAAAUAGAAUGGUAAAUUCUAAUUAUUUUAUGACGUUUGACAAUCAGAGCAGUGUUUUCAUUUUCCAAAACGGCUGUUAUUAUUAUUAUUUAGUUCUUGAGGAGAUAACAUCUAAGUAUAAAGUUGUAUACUGAUGUGUUCUUUCAUGAAUGACAGAUUAUAUCGCUGUGGGUGUGUUGGGGAGUUAAUUUUUAUAAGUGUGUGUCCUUACUCAUUGACUAAAAAGUAUCGGAUUAUACACAUAGAUGCCCUUAUUUUUUUUAUAAAAUUAACAUCAUUUUAAGUUAGUACCAACGAGCGUUGAGACUUGGUCCAGCACUGAUUUUUUUGAGAGCCCAUUUGUUUUCUAGAUCAACUGUCAUUCAAUUAUUUCAAAAUAAUCUCAAAUUGCACUAUAAGUUAUAGAAUAAAUACGGUAUACAUAUAAGAGACGGCGGAAUCAAAAUUGAUCCGAGUUAUCUUUGUUUAAACUUCUUAUAACGUCAAGGUAUACAAAUGAUGUAUUGUUAUAAACAAUUUAUCUGAGCAAUUUCUUGGGAUCGAACUAAACCCAUUUUUUCCUUUGGACCGAUCUAGACCAAAUUUUUAUUUGAUACCGAAUUUUUAUAUGAGACCGGUCCAGAUCGAGCUUUUUUUGUUGGAGCGAACUAAUUCGGUCCAAAAAAAAAAAAAAAAAAAGUAACGAUCUGCGAUCGGUCCAGACCGAAACCCAACACUAGUACCAACCUUCAAAAGAUAGCGGUCAAAAUUUCAUGAGAAUCUGUACUUUAGUACUUUUGCUAUUCUAUGUCAAGUGUGCCCAAUUUUUUGAAAUUUUUUACAUGGUAACAGCCGAUUUCGAUUAGACUUUAGACUUGUGGAGGCACGAGGGCCCGCUUAAGAGUCUUUAAAAGUUUGGCCCUCUUAGAUCUUGAGUAAGCCAUAACUCAAUUUACAAUAAACCGAUUCAUUUUGUUUUUUUUUCAAUUAAAAUACUUUUAAGAGAACACGCUUCAAUUCAUAUAGUCUAAAAAAUUGGUAUGUGUACAAAAAUAUUAUGAAACAUUAUUAAAAAAUAGCACCUCAGUCAUGCUACAAAAUUUAUAUGACCAUUUUUUGUAAGAACUUUGAUCUACUCAUAUUCUAUAGGUGUAAAAAACAUUAGAGUGGAGUCUAAAUGGGAUCAUCUUUAUUUAGGCCUCUAACUGGAAAGGGUCAUAAUCGCCAUAACAUUAAAUUCUGUUUUUUAUUUAAGAGCAUAUAUAAUUCGUUGUUAUUCUUCCUUUCUAUCCCCCCCUAAUUUUAAAUAUUCAUAAUCUUGUCAUGAAUGUAUUUGAAUUAAUUUCAUAUUUAUCAAAAUAAAAUAAUUUAUUAUAUCAAUAGAAUAAAAUAUAAGUUUUGCUCAA
rnacentral:lncRNA from 1 species